GGCGUCGACCGGCGCACGGGUGAGUAACGCGUAUCCAACCUGCCCACCACUUGGGGAUAACCUUGCGAAAGUAAGACUAAUACCCAAUGAUAUCCCACGAAGACAUCCGAAUGGGAUUAAAGAUUUAUCGGUGAUGGAUGGGGAUGCGUCCGAUUAGCUUGUUGGCGGGGUAACGGCCCACCAAGGCGACGAUCAGUAGGGGUUCUGAGAGGAAGGUCCCCCACAUUGGAACUGAGACACGGUCCAAACUCCUACGGGAGGCAGCAGUGAGGAAUAUUGGUCAAUGGGCGAGAGCCUGAACCAGCCAAGUAGCGUGCAGGAUGACGGCCCUAUGGGUUGUAAACUGCUUUUAUAGGGGAAUAAAGUGAGCCACGUGUGGUUUUUUGCAUGUACCCUAUGAAUAAGGACCGGCUAAUUCCGUGCCAGCAGCCGCGGUAAUACGGAAGGUCCGGGCGUUAUCCGGAUUUAUUGGGUUUAAAGGGAGCGUAGGCCGGAGAUUAAGCGUGUUGUGAAAUGUAGAUGCUCAACAUCUGAACUGCAGCGCGAACUGGUUUCCUUGAGUACGCAUAAAGUGGGCGGAAUUCGUGGUGUAGCGGUGAAAUGCUUAGAUAUCACGAAGAACUCCGAUU
rnacentral:rRNA from 1 species